rnacentral:sRNA from 12 species
UGACCACUGUUUCACAGUUUCCGCUUUUUGGGCGGUGGAGCAGGCAAGGCCAUGCGGACAGCCGGGUCAAAUGCCGA